AGUACGAAAGAGACACAGCACAGCCAGGCCACAAUCCAUACUGCCAAGAGAUGCAGAUGCUGGCGAUGCAGGUCCUUCUUCAUCAAACACCCCUCCACUAAGACGACCAUCACAGGGCUCAGAUAGUCUCCAUAAGAUGGGUACCAAGAGACGCCGUGUUGAGGCGGAAUAUCCACCGCAUCCUCCCCACCACAACGGCACAGCUCUACAGUGUCGUCCCAGCCACCACAAGCCAUUUUGGUCAGUCCACAAAGCGAGGAACCACAAUCCCCUCAGCUGUCUGAACCACCCAUCAUGCCCGAGGAUACCCAGCAGGAAACUGACUUGCAGGAAUCGUACACACUACACCUGCAAGCGAAUGAUCCAAACCAGCCAACCACGCCGCAGGACAUAACCCAACCACGCCAAACAUCCCACAGCCCCCAAUUGAGCCCAACACCACCCCAGCCACAAAUGGGCCCAGAGUUUUGGUCCAGUUGGGCCACACAACAGGCGCAACACUAUGCCUGUCUGAACACCCACAGCCAAUACCUUGCCAGUCUGCCCCAUCAUCUGUCUAGACUCAGUCGGAACUCAGGCAGACUGAUAGUUCAAGUUGGCAGAGUAGCAAAUUCUAUGGAGCAGAUGAGGGCAGACAACAGCCAAAUGUACGCAAAUUUACAAAGAAUCAUGGAUGACCAACAGUGGCAGCAACAAGCCCUCAUACAAAUUAUACAACAUAACCAAUUAAUAAAUGAAAGCCUCUUCCAAAUCAUUGCCAAUAACACUGCCGCAGCUACACAACUCACAGCAAGCCUCAACAACCUGAGCCAAAGCCUAAAUGUGUUGGCAUCACACCAACUAAGCUCAAGCUCAGGAACAACCACACCAAGCCAGACCCCAGUUACCUCCCCAGUAAGACAAACCAGCAGAAUCAGGACCAAUGAACCAUCCCAAACCUCUGCACCCAGCAAACAAAAAACAAAGAAAUGAUCAAGGCUGCAGCAACAACUACAGUAUGUUAUUUGAAAAUUACAAAUUAUCUAAUUGAUUCACUCAAAAUGCCCGAG